rnacentral:rRNA from 1 species
AUUGAACGCUGGCGGCAGGCCUAACACAUGCAAGUCGAACGAGUGGCGGACGGGUGAGUAAUGUCUGGGAAACUGCCUGAUGGAGGGGGAUCACUACUGGAAACGGUCUCUAAUACCGCAUACCCUCAUCUUAGCCCAUGUGGGCUUAGCUAGUUGGUGGGGUAUGGGCUCACCAAGGCGACGAUCCCUAGCUGGUCUGAGAGGUUGACCAGCAACACUGGAACGGAGACACGGCCAAGACUCCGACGGGAGGCAGCAGUGGGGAAGAUUGCACAAUGGGCGCAAGCCUGAUGCAGCCAGGCCGCGGGUAUGAAGAAGGCCUUCGGGUUGUAAAGUACUUUCAGCGGGGAGGCGUUACCCGCAGAAGAAGCACCGGCUAACUCCGUGCCAGCAGCCGCGGUAAUAC